rnacentral:rRNA from 1 species
ACGCUGGCGGCAGGCCUAACACAUGCAAGUCGAGCGGUAGAGAGAAGCUUGCUUCUCUUGAGAGCGGCGGACGGGUGAGUAAUGCCUAGGAAUCUGCCUGGUAGUGGGGGAUAACGUUCGGAAACGGACGCUAAUACCGCAUACGUCCUACGGGAGAAAGCAGGGGACCUUCGGGCCUUGCGCUAUCAGAUGAGCCUAGGUCGGAUUAGCUAGUUGGUGGGGUAAUGGCUCACCAAGGCGACGAUCCGUAACUGGUCUGAGAGGAUGAUCAGUCACACUGGAACUGAGACACGGUCCAGACUCCUACGGGAGGCAGCAGUGGGGAAUAUUGGACAAUGGGCGAAAGCCUGAUCCAGCCAUGCCGCGUGUGUGAAGAAGGUCUUCGGAUUGUAAAGCACUUUAAGUUGGGAGGAAGGGCAGUUGCCUAAUACGUAACUGUUUUGACGUUACCGACAGAAUAAGCACCGGCUAACUCUGUGCCAGCAGCCGCGGUAAUACAGAGGGUGCAAGCGUUAAUCGGAAUUACUGGGCGUAAGGCGCGCGUAGGUGGUUUGUUAAGUUGGAUGUGAAAUCCCCGGGCUCAACCUGGGAACUGCAUUCAAAACUGACUGACUAGAGUAUGGUAGAGGGUGGUGGAAUUUCCUGUGUAGCGGUGAAAUGCGUAGACAUAGGAAGGAACACCAGUGGCGAAGGCGACCACCUGGACUGAUACUGACACUGAGGUGCGAAAGCGUGGGGAGCAAAC